rnacentral:lncRNA from 1 species
CGGAGGCCGCCCGCAAGUCUGGGGCCAUUCCGAGUCCGGCGGACGAACUUCGCCCACGCCCCCCACCAAGGCUAUAGCCCACCCGUUUUUUGGCCAUUUUUCCGCUGGGGGGUCUUGGCACUUCCACCUUCGGGGGCUAAUUUUUGGGCGCGGCUGCGCCCGUGGCCUAUUUUUAGCACACGAGGGCCACCCACAAAGUCUGGGGCCAUUCCGAGUCCGGCGGACGAACUUCGCCCACGCCCCCCACCAAGGCUAUAGCCCACCCGUUUUUUGGCCAUUUUUCCGCUGGGGGGUCGUGGCGCCCCGACCUUCGGGGGCUAAUUUUUGGGCGCGGCUGUGCCCGUGGCCUAUUUUUGGCACACGGAGGCCGCCCGCAAAGUCUGGGGCCAGUUCGAGUCCGGCGGACGAACUUCGCCCACGCCCCCCACCAAGGCUAUAGCCCACCCGUUUUUUGGCCAUUUUUCCGCUGGGGGGUCUUGGCACCCCGACCUUCGGGGGUUGAUUUUUGGGCUCGGCUUUGCCCGUGGCCUAUUUUUGGCACACGGAGGCCGCCCGCAAAGUCUGAGGCCAUUCCGAGUCCGGCGGACGAACUUCGCCCCCGCCCCCCACCAAGGCUAUAGCCCACCCGUUUUUUGGCCAUUUUUCCGCUGGGGGGUCUUGGCGCCCCGACCUUCGGGGGCUAAUUUUUGGGCGCGGCUGUGCCCGUGGCCUAUUUUUGGCACACGGAGGCCGCCCGCAAAGUCUGGGGCCAUUCCGAGUCCGGCGGACGAACUUCGCCCACGCCCCCCACCAAGGCUAUAGCCCACCCGUUUUUUGGCCAUUUUUCCGCUGGGGGGUCUUGGCACCUCCACCUUUCGGGGCUAAUUUUUGGGCGCGGCUGUGCCCGUGGCCUAUUUUGGCACACGAGGGCCACCCGCAAAGCCUGGGGCCAUUCCGAGUCCGGCGGACGAACUUCGCCCACGCCCCCCACCAAGGCUAUAGCCCACCUGUUUUUUGGCCAUUUUUCCGCUGGGGGGUCUUGGCAGCCCGACCUUCGGGGGCUAAUUUUUGGGCGCGGCUGUGCCCGUGGCCUAUUUUUGGCACACGGAGGCCGCCCGCAAAGUCUGGGGCCAUUCCGAGUCCGGCGGACGAACUUCGCCCCGCCCCCCACCAAGGCUAUAGCCCACCCGUUAUUUGGCCAUUUUUCCGCUGGGGGGUCUUGGCACCUCCAUCUUCGGGGGCUAAUUUUUGGGCGCGGCUGUGCCCGUGGCCUAUUUUUGGCACACGAGGGCCGCCCGCAAAGUCUGGGGCCAUUCCGAGUCCGGCGGACGAACUUCGCCCACGCCCCCCACCAAGGCUAUAGCCCACCCGUUUUUUGGCCAUUUUUCCGCUGGGGGGUCUUGGCAGCCCGACCUUCGGGGGCUGAUUUUUGGGCGCGGCUGUGCCCGUGGCCUAUUUUUGGCGCACGGAGGCCGCCCGUAAAGUCUGGGGCCAUUGCGAGUCCGGCGGACGAACUUCGCCCACGCCCCCCACCAAGGCUAUAGCCCACCCGUUUUUUGGCCAUUUUUCCGCUGGGGGGUCUUGGCACCCCGACCUUCGGGGGCUGAUUUUUGGGCGCGGCUGUGCCCGUGGCCUAUUAUUGGCACACGGAGGCCGCCCGCAAAGUCUGGGGCCAGUUCGAGUCCGGCGGACGAACUUCGCCCACGCCCCCCACCAAGGCUAUAGCCCACCCGUUUUUUGGCCAUUUUUCCGCUGGGGGGUCUUGGCACCCCGACCUUCGGGGGCUGAUUUUUGGGCGCGGCUGUGCCCGUGGCCUAUUUUUGGCACACGGAGGCCGCCCGCAAAGUCUGGGGCCAUUACGAGUCCGGCGGACGAACUUCGCCCACACCCCCCACCAAGGCUAUAGCCCACCCGUUUUUUGGCCAUUUUUCCGCUGGGGGGUCUUGGCACCCCGACCUUCGGGGGCUGAUUUUUGGGCGCGGCUGUGCCCGUGGCCUAUUUUUGGCACACGGAGGCCGCCCGCAAAGUCUGGGGCCAUUCCGAGUCCGGCGGACGAACUUCGCCCACGCCCCCCACCAAGGGUAUAGCCCACCCGUUUUUUGGCCAUUUUUCCGCUGGGGGGUCUUGGCACCCCGACCUUCGGGGGUUGAUUUUUGGGCGCGGCUUUGCCCGUGGCCUAUUUUUGGCACACGGAGGCCGCCCGCAAAGUCUAAGGCCAUUCCGAGUCCGGCGGACGAACUUCGCCCACGCCCCCCACCAAGGCUAUAGCCCACCCGUUUUUUGGCCAUUUUUCCGCUGGGGGGUCUUGGCGCCCCGACCUUCGGGGGCUAAUUUUUGGGCGCGGCUGUGCCCGUGGCCUAUUUUUGGCACACGGAGGCCGCCCGCAAAGUCUGGGGCCAUUCCGAGUCCGGCGGACGAACUUCGCCCACGCCCCCCACCAAGGCUAUAGCCCACCCGUUUUUUGGCCAUUUUUCCGCUGGGGGGUCCUGGCACCUCCACCUUCGGGGGCUAAUUUUUGGGCGCGGCUGUGCCCGUGGCCUAUUUUUGGCACACGAGGGCCACCCGCAAAGCCUGGGGCCAUUCCGAGUCCGGCGGACGAACUUCGCCCACGCCCCCCACCAAGGCUAUAGCCCACCCGUUUUUUGGCCAUUUUUCCGCUGGGGGGUCUUGGCAGCCCGACCUUCGGGGGCUAAUUUUUGGGCGCGGCUGUGCCCGUGGCCUAUUUUUGGCACACGGAGGCCGCCCGCAAAGUCUGGGGCCAUUCCGAGUCCGGCGGACGAACUUCGCCCCGCCCCCCACCAAAGCUAUAGCCCACCCGUUUUUUGGCCAUUUUCCGCUGGGGGGUCUGGGCACCUCCAUCUUCGGGGGCUAAUUUUUGGGCGCGGCUGUGCCCGUGGCCUAUUUUUGGCACACGAGGGCCGCCCGCAAAGUCUGGGGCCAUUCCGAGUCCGGCGGACGAACUUCGCCCACGCCCCCGCCAAGGCUAUAGCCCACCCGUUUUUUGGCAAUUUUUCCGCUGGGGGGUCUUGGCAGCCCGACCUUCGGGGGCUAAAUUUUGGGCACGG